GUUGAACGCUGGCGGCAUGCCUAACACAUGCAAGUCGAACGGAUGGGGGGAGCUUUCGCCUGGAUUCAGCGGCGGGCGCGGGAGUAAUACCUGUGAAUCUGCCGCGUAUGAGGUGGUAACGUCCGCAAACGAGCGCUAAUACCGCAUGCUUCCUGAGGGAGAAGGUGGGGGAGCUUCGGACCUCACGCUAGCAGGUGAGCCUAGGUCGGAUUAGCUAGUUGGUGGGGUAAAGGCCUACUAAGGCGACGAUCCGUAACUGGUCUGAGUGGAUGAUCAGUCACACUGGAAGUGAGACACGGACCAGACUCCUAAGGGAGGGCGCAGUGGGGAAUAUUGGACAGUGGGCGAAAGCAUGAUACAGUCAUGCCGAGCGUGUGAAGAAGGUCUUCGGAUUGUAAAGCAGGUCAAGUUGUGAGGAAGGGCAGUAAGUUAAUACCUUGCUGUUUUGACGUUACUAACAGAAUAAGCACCGGCUAACUUCGUG
rnacentral:rRNA from 1 species